AUUAUAUGAGAACGUUAUUCGUCGUGUUAAUAUGUGCAGGGAACGCAUUAUGUGAGGGCGUGAUUGGAAGGGAGGUGGGGCCCCUUUGUGGGGAGAUAAAUGAUACAUAUACGUAGUCUAACAGAAGUAGAUAACCGACCGGCGAUUUUGUUUCCUUUCCAGAAAAGUAGCUAUCGUUAGCAACGGAAGGAGACGAGGCAUGCACGCCCUACAUUACCGGACUGCAUGCAAAAGAUUUUGUGGAGGUGGUAUUUUCGAUAGGAAAAUUUUGGAGGAUUCUAGAAAGUUACUUCCAAUCCCAUCAACAAUAAAACAAAACACGGGUUUAUUCUUCGGCAAGAAAUAAAUGACUAGAUUGUAACCUACACCAUCGUGUACCCAGCCUAUAUAUAUGCUUUGUACGCAUCAACCUAAACCUCACCACAGCCCAGCCUCCCUCCUUGAAUCCCAUCCUUGAACCUUGAGCAGAACCAACCAAUCUCGCCAUCACCAUCACCACCACCGUCAUAUGUCUCCCUAUCAUCCUGCUGCGUCCGUCAGGCCUGCACAGUCAGUCACGAAGCAGUCCAAGUCACGUGCAUCGAAGCCCCCACCUUCAUCGACAAAGUCAGGUGCACCGAAGCCGCCACACUCGUCGGCAAAGAAGGUAUACAUAUCUCAUUGAACCCGUACAUCAACUCGUGUAGAUCAGCAUGACAUAGCAGUCCCGAUUUACCAUAGCCUACUAUAGAUCCACAUGACGCCUCUUGUGUAGAUCAGUCCCGAUUUCCUUUUUUUUGAAUGACAAUCCCGAUUACAUCCUGUUUACAUUACAUCAAAAAAAGAUCAGUAGAUUACAUAAAAAAGAUUAGCUUAAGUACAAGUUACAUUAAUCAAAUCAUUACUUCAGCCUGGCACGUCUUAAACUAAUUAGCUAGCAAUAUAGUACGUCAACGAAUGAGUAAGUAAAGUUAUAUUUUUAUUUCUCAGUGGUACGUACAGUAAAAUUAUAUUUUUAUUUCUCAGUAAAAAUAUGCUGAAAAUCCGUAGGCACAUUCACCAUAGCCUACUCUUACUGAAGAUAGAAAGAGAACAUGCAUGCAAAUUAAAGAUAGAAAGAGAACAUGCAUGCAAAUUAAAACAACACCGCAUAUAGCCAAAUAAACAGCCUAAAUGAUAAUCUUAAUUAUUUGUUCACAAUAAAUCUCUUAUUUUUGUUGGCUUGUCACUGAAAAUAAUCUUUGCACAUACAGGGUACCCAGGUUGUAUCAAUGCACGGGUACUCGGAGUUUGUCCAGUCGCUAACCCAGGAACAAUAUGUCAUAGCUAGUCAAACGACAAUUCGCGAACAGUUUGUCUAAUUCACAUCUAGAUGUUUUUUAAGGAUCUCAGAGCUAACCUCCCACAAAUAUAUAAUGGAGCAACAAGAAGCAAAAAAAACUAGGACAAAAAAAUGGACCACAAACAGAGUGAAAAUCAGCUUAGAUGUGACAUAACUAUGUCACAUCUAGAUGUGUCCUAGACAGACCCAUUCGCGAAACUCUGAAGACUCCUGCAAUGAACGUUAGGAGAGUUUUGUGCCAAAAGAUUGCUAGCACAUAUGAUUCACAAGUUGUCGCGUUUGUGAUACACGGGGUACCUAUGAGAAUAACCUUGCAAGACGUAGAACACAUCACAGGCCUGCCCAGCAUGGGGAGGGACUAUGUCCCUCCUCCGUUCAAAGAAGUGCAGGACUUAUGGCUUGAUUUAAAGGAUCCCGAAGAUAACAAACUGACCUUGAAAGGUAUAUGAUAUUUUCAGAACUAUUUUUUCGUUUGAUAAUGGAACAAAUUUCAUAAUUACAAUACUUGACAAACAACCUUUUCAGGUCUUCGUAAGAAGAUGAUUGGCGAAGAGAGGCCACGGUUUGUGAAGCCUUAUGUCUUGUACACCAUUGGCAAGUUGGUUUGCCCAACGACACAACCCUAUGUUGAUCCAAAUAUUUGGGAAUUGUUAUCGACAUACAUACUAUAAACUCCAUAAAUUAUGCUAAACUAUUUCUUGACCACUUAAUGUCAAGUGUGAGGAAGUUUGUGAACGGUGCCGCGAACUUGGAGGGGAAUCUCCCACUACUGCAGGUAGUACAAACUCUUCCUAUGAUAUUCUUUAAUUGGUCAAUUAUGUAUUCUUUUUAAUUCUCUCCCACACUUGGUUCUAUGAGAAAUUCUGAGUCGACCAUAUUGAUCGCACCAUUUCCUAUCUUCAACGAGAUAAACCAUUGAUACAAUACUGGGACGAAGAAAAGGCAGCAAAGGUCGACAAAAUAAUAUCGCAGAACUACAUAGGAGUAGGACAGGUAUAUGCUUACUGUUGCUAGUUGUCAUCUGCUCAGUUUUUGCAAAAUGACUCAUAAUAUAUAAAAAAUUGCAGAUGGUAGACGACCUCAGGCGCCCUUGGAAGCCAAUGCCGAAGGCUUCACAUCAACCUACAAAGUCUACUUUUGAGGUACGUCCUAUGUAACUUGUACAAUGAUACUACUCGUUUCUUAGGCUGAAACUAUUUGUUUGUACAAAUAUUUUUAUGAAACAAUCAGUUCUAAUUUAUCUUAACUUGUAGGUCGAUGGGACACUAGGCCGCGUACUCGCCUAGGUGGGAGAGAUAAAAGCAAUAGUGUGUCAGCAAUAUUCGGAGAUUUCCGCAAAACUGGACGGAGUAGAAAGGCUUAAAAAGCAAAACAGCAUGCGCUUGGAGGACUUCAUUUGUGCAUUCAAUGUAUGCAUUUGUUCUUUUUUUGUUGUAAUUCAUCCUUCUAGAUGAGUGCAUGACUAACAUUUUUUCAUUAAUAGGAUCAUCGAUUUGGAGUAGGACAGAAGGACUUUAAUGAGGGUCAGAGAGUUGAUAAUAAUAUCAAGGUAUGUCACAAAAUUUCUAACUGUCUUCAUGUCAGAAUGUAUGCUAACCAUUUUUCAUUUUAACGUGCGAACUAGAAAACCUCGAAGAAUGUUGCUGCUAGUACAAAUGAAGUGCCAAAGUGUGUCUACAGCAACCCCAGCAAGAACCUUGCUGGGGAAUUUGAGGUAUGAAUUCCAUCUUGGUACAAUGUUUUUUUGUCAACCAUACUUAGUGCUAACUUGUCCAUCUGUACAGAAGGUAAAAAAAACACCUGUGGACCCCCACAAAGGAAAAACAGACAGAGAUGACGCUGUGGACUCAUUUGGUAAGCGUUUUAGGAGUGACAGCAAGAACUUACCCUCCCAAUCUGAGGUCAGCAUCACAUGUCUGAACUAUAUUGCUAGGAAAGGGUUUAUUUCAACCAUAUUCUUAACUUGAUGACAACAUUGCAGAAGGUGAAGAAAACAUAUGUACACCCCCAGAAGUUAAAGACUGAAAGAGACGAUAGCAAGAACUUACCCUCCGAAUAUGAGGUCUGCAUCACAUCUUAACCAAAUUGCUAACAAACGUUUUUCUCAACCCAUAUUCCUAACCUUAAGUCAAAUAUCGCAGAAGGUCAAGCAUACGUCCAUGGAUGCCAUGGACUCCAUAGGGAGGCGUGUCAGACAUGACAGCCGGAAGAAAAAGAAGUCUUCACUCCUUCAGAGCGAGGAAUACGAAUUUUACACCCCCGCGCUCAGAAGGAAAAGAGCUCUAUCUCAACAGACACAUGACAGUAACGAUAUUAUGUACACACAGAAUAAGAAGAUGAAUCCCGGGAAAAGCAGCGCCCAGCAGCUAAAACAGCUCAAGGAGGACUUGAUCAAUUUUCAGGCAGAAACAGAUCGAGUUACACAGAAUAUAGUAGUUGACUAUGUAAACACUACUCCUGAGACCGCCAAGUUGGUGAAGAUCAAGGACAUACUUCUAACGCAGAAGUAUCUUAAAUGCCUGACAACACCAGAUCAUUCCUCCUUUGCAGCUUGGGUGGAUGACGAUGUAAGUGCUAACGCAAAAUAGUAUCUUUGAUUAUUUAUAUGUUUUCCAAUUAAGCUAAUAUCUUCUUUCUUAGGUACUCGAUGCGGCGUUUGAACUCCUACGCCUGGACGGACUAGAAGGUGUACGAGACCAUGGUACCGUGUAUGUCGAAAGGUCGACCAUUGUCAACAUCCUAAAGAGAGAUGGCACAGUCCCGAAUUGUACCUUGGAUGUUUUAAGCGGCAAAUCAGGCACUAAAUGUGGAGAUAACUACCUGAAGCAUGACAUGGUAAAAAAAUCCACCCUUCUCUUAUAUAAAUAAGAAAUUUUAUUUUUAGGCACUUCAAACCAGUUACAAAUUUUGCACGCAGAUUUUCCUACCUUCAAAUAUUCCCAACCACCACUGGUUCCUGGCUGUUGUCAACUCCCAAAAGAGGGAGAUUCAAAUUCUGGACUCACUCCAAUCACGCAACAACCGCAAAGAAGUAAUUGCUGCGGUGAGGCUCUAACAACAUUUUAUAUAACUUACAGUUUAUACGAAUAAUGUACUAAAUUGAGUGAUAUGUUACUUGCAGCUUCUUGGAAUGGAAACACAUAUUGAUAUAGCAGUGAUGGAAAAUAGAAUGCCAGGAAGUAGAUGGUCGGACACUCAAGUGGCUUCGUGGCCUAUCACAGACUAUGAAGUGCCACAGCAAAAAGAUGGGUGUUGAAAUACAUCCAAUAUUGGACUAGAGUGAGAUUGUCGGCAAUAUUCAACCAGGUACCUACAUCUUCCCUAUCUAACUUAACUUUCACAUAUACAAAGGGUCCUAACGUCUACCUCCUAUGCAGGAUGACAUAAGACAGUUCAGAAGAUGGUUUGCUGCUGCGUUGAUCAAUUCACCUCACAAUGAGUUGAAAGUUCGGAAGGCCAUACCAGCAGUUGACUUAGAAGAUGAUUUAGAAGACGUCGACCUCGGAGGUGACGACGGACACAACGACAGCGGAGAUGUCUUAGGAGACGAUGAUUCCGCACUAUAGUUGUGUGGUGCUAGACUAAGGGAAGAGUUAAUAGGAUUGGGGGUGGUGUGGUUUUUGCCCCGUAGACGGUUUCCACACCGUUUUCAAUUUUAUUACUUUAUCUAUUUAUCUAUACAUCAGAGAUGUAUCAAACAUUUUUUUUGGUUGUGCUACUUUAUCUAUACGGCAAAUUGCCGUACAUUUACUACUUUUAUCCAUAUUGAAUAUCUACAUUAAUUUUUAAUUAAAGUCUUUCACGCACAAAAUCUUGUAUUCUUUGUUUAAUGAUGCAAUUCCCUUUGGUUUAUAGGAUGUGAUUCAAAAACAAAAUUUCUAAGUGGCUUUACACUUUCAGUCGCAAUUUCCUUGUUACUUGUGUCCUUGGAAGCAACACAAUCUUUUUAAACCUGGGGUUUCAAUUCUGUAUUAUGCCAAUGAAUGAUAGGCAAAUGCUGUCCUGAUAUUUCAACUUGUGCAUCCUACCAUUUAAUCGAUGAUCAGGAUUUUCUAAAAAGCCAACUUGGCCACCAACUUGGGAACUAUCCAUUGCCUAUAUGAGUGUUGAACAGGUGUACUAAUUAACUAGACUGAACUGGAAUGUCUGUUCAUAUGACCAUGACUGAAUCAGCUGGAACUGAAACAUGCUCUAUGUGGAAUCUGAAACUGCACAUGCUCUGCACUAAUAUCACAUACAAAAAAAUCCUUGUGUACAUGAGCUCCUGUACUUUCGGACUUGCUGCUGUACAAGCUAGUGUGGAUUUCUGAAUUUGAACAAGUACACAAGAUGAGCAGAGAGGACGAGCAUGGACCUGAACUGCUGCUGGUGUGAUGGAACUCGUCCUCCUCCUAGGCGAGGACCAUGGCUGGAUCAGCUUUUUCCCUCCAAAUCGCUUGUCACUGCUAUACAGGAAGGAUAGACAUACACGUUUGACAUCAUUGUUUAUCUCCACACGGCACUAUUUGAGUUAGAAACAAAAACAUAGGAUUUGUGAUGCUAUGACAUCUUAAUGAUUCAUGAACUAAGCUGAAUAAGCCUAGGUCCAAUUUCAGAAUAAGCCUCGGUACAGACACAGCUAGCAAGUGGCGGUGCCUGGGCCAGAGACGAUGGAGAAUCUAGCUUACGAAAUCGAGGAAAGAAAUGGGGGCCAAUGGAUCGAUGGGUUGGAUGCGAGUACCUGCAUCGGCCACGACAGAUCUGUACGGCACUGGUCGGCGUGUAGGGCCUUGACGGCGACGGGGCAUGCUGGCAACGUCUCGCCUUAGUCCUCCCCCUCGGCGACCCGCUCCACAUCCUGCAGCUUAGGAGGGGAACACGAAUGGCGGGACAUUUAGCCGCCGACCACAGCCGCCGACCAGAAAAACAACUUGUAUCAAGAUUCCUCACCAUAAUAAUAACAAUGAUUUCAGCUUCUAUAGAUGUGCAAUUUCAACGACUACAAACCCAAAUUACAGACCCAAAUAUCAUCCAAUGCGGCAAAUCAAAUCAAUCGACAAGUGAGAUCUGUACGAAGCUAGUACCUUAGUGGAACUCCAACUCGGCGGCGCGCAGGGCCGUCACGGCGAUGGGGCAUGCUGCUGCAGCAACGUCUCGCCUUCGUCCCCUUCCCCCUCCCCCUCAGCCACCAGCUCCAGAACACGAAUGGCAGGGCCAUCUCGCCGACGAUGACUGUGACACCAUGGGGGCAACGCCGCAGCGCCCGCUCAUCUGACCGAAGGCGGGGCACCAAACCCUAGCGCUCGCACUGACUGCGCGAAGGGCCGUCACGGCGACCGGGGCUCGUCAUCGUCCUCUCGCCCUACCGCGGCCAGCGUUCGAUUGGGAUUUUUUUUCUCAUUCGAGGUCUGCCUAAACAGUCGGCCUCAUUUCCCUCAAGGAGCAGACGGCGAUGGCUAAUGAAAAAAAAGAUCAAUACGUGAAAUUCCACAAAUGCCCUUCACUCGUUUUCUGAGGAAACCAGCCCGCGUUUUUGGUAAACAGCGAACUACCG
rnacentral:lncRNA from 1 species